GUUGAAUCCGUAUACAAGCGAAGCGAGCAAGAGUUUUUAGAUUCACUAAAGAUUGGCCAGAAAAUCGUACAGAAAGUUGCUGGACACGUUGCGAUUUAAAUUAAUAAAACAAUAGUGCCGAUCGGA
rnacentral:lncRNA from 1 species